UACGUAGGGUGCAAGCGUUAAUCGGAAUUACUGGGCGUAAAGCGUGCGCAGGCGGUUGUGCAAGACAGAUGUGAAAUCCCCGGGCUUAACCUGGGAACUGCAUUUGUGACUGCACGGCUGGAGUGCGGCAGAGGGGGAUGGAAUUCCGCGUGUAGCAGUGAAAUGCGUAGAUAUGCGGAGGAACACCGAUGGCGAAGGCAGCCCCCUGGGCCAAUACUGACGCUCAGGCACGAAAGCGUGGGGAGCAAACAGG
rnacentral:rRNA from 1 species